rnacentral:rRNA from 1 species
GAUGAACGCUGACGGCGUGCCUAAUACAUGCAAGUCGAGCGAACGGACGAGAAGCUUGCUUCUCUGAUGUUAGCGGCGGACGGGUGAGUAACACGUGGAUAACCUACCUAUAAGACUGGGAUAACUUCGGGAAACCGGAGCUAAUACCGGAUAAUAUUUUGAACCGCAUGGUUCAAAAGUGAAAGACGGUCUUGCUGUCACUUAUAGAUGGAUCCGCGCUGCAUUAGCUAGUUGGUAAGGUAACGGCUUACCAAGGCAACGAUGCAUAGCCGACCUGAGAGGGUGAUCGGCCACACUGGAACUGAGACACGGUCCAGACUCCUACUGGAGGCAGCAGUAGGGAAUCUUCCGCAAUGGGCGAAAGCCUGACGGAGCAACGCCGCGUGAGUGAUGAAGGUCUUCGGAUCGUAAAACUCUGUUAUUAGGGAAGAACAUAUGUGUAAGUAACUGUGCACAUCUUGACGGUACCUAAUCAGAAAGCCACGGCUAACUACGUG